UCGAGCGGUCCUUCGGGACAGCGGCGAACGGGUUAGUAACGCGUGGGAACGUGCCCUUUAGUACGGAAUAGCCAUUGGAAACGAUGAUUAAUACCGUAUACGCCCCAAGGGGGAAAGAUUUAUCGCUAAAGGAUCGGCCCGCGUUAGAUUAGGUAGUUGGUAGGGUAAUGGCCUACCAAGCCGACGAUCUAUAGCUGGUUUGAGAGGAUGAUCAGCAACACUGGGACUGAGACACGGCCCAGACUUCUACGGAAGGCAGCAGUAGGGAAUCUUGGACAAUGGGCGAAAGCCUGAUCCAGCCAUGCCGCGUGAGUGAUGAAGGCCCUAGGGUUGUAAAGCUCUUUCGCCAGGGAAGAUAAUGACGGUACCUGGUAAAGAAACCCCGGCUAAC
rnacentral:rRNA from 1 species